UGAGGAAUAUUGCACAAUGGGCGCAAGCCUGAUGCAGCGACGCCGCGUGGGCGAUGAAGGUCUUCGGAUCGUAAAGCCCUUUUCUGUGUGACGAGAAAAAGGACGGUAGCACAGGAAUAAGUGUCGGCUAACUACGUGCCAGCAGCCGCGGUAAAACGUAGGACGCAAAUGUUAUCCGGAGUUACUGGGCGUAAAGAGCAUGUAGGCGGUUCAAAAGGUCGGUCGUGAAAGCUCCCAGGCUAAACCGGGAGAGGUCGUCCGAAACCGUUGAACUAGAAUUCGGUAGAGGCAUGUGGAAUUCCGGGUGUAGUGGUGAAAUGCGUAGAGAUCCGGAGGAACACCAGUGGCGAAAGCGGCAUGCUAGGCCUGAAUUGACGCUGAGAUGCGAAAGCAUGGGGAG
rnacentral:rRNA from 1 species